GCAUAUAAGUAAGCGGAGGAAAAGGAACUAAACAGGAUUCCCUUAGUAAUGGCGAACGAACAGGGAUCAGCUUGGAUUGGAAACCGGGGCUUCUGCCUUGGAUUGUGGCCUUUAGACGUACUACCAACGGCGGCGCGAGCGUAAGCCUCUUGGAACAGAGCGUCUACGUGGGUGAGAAUCCUGUGUUUCGCUUGAUGCCCGCCGUGCACGGUACUUGCUCUCAGAGUCACGCUCCUCGGAAUUGGAGCGUAAAUUGGGUGGUAAAUUUCAUCUAAAGCUAAAUACAGGCUCGAGACCGAUAGCAAACAAGUACCAUGAGGGAAAGAUGAAAAGGACUUUGAAAAGAGAGUUAAAAGUGCUUGAAAUCGCUGAACUGGAAGCGAAUGGAACUAGUGCUCUGGUUGAGAUUGCUGCAAGUGGCUGCGACAUCUGAGCUCUGGAACGCAAGUCCUUUGUCUGGUUUGAAGUAGUUGCUUGUAAUGUGUCUCAGCUUGAACAUCAGCGUCUAUGCAUACGUGAGGAUGGCCCUUAGCUCAUGCUGUGUUGCUGUGGCGAUACUCUUGUGCUUUUGGGGAUUCAGGUGUGUGUGGAUUGUUGAUCAAUUAGUUCCAUUCGACCCGUCUUGAAACACGGACCAAGGAG
rnacentral:rRNA from 1 species